rnacentral:rRNA from 1 species
UACGUAGGUGGCAAGCGUUGUCCGGAGUUAUUGGGCGUAAAGCGCGCGCAGGCGGUGCGGUAAGUCUCUGGUGAAAGCGCUCGGCUUAACUGGGCAAGGGCCGGGGAGACUGCCACGCUGGAGGGGAGCAGAGGCGAGUGGAAUUCCGGGUGUAGUGGUGAAAUGCGUAGAGAUCCGGAGGAACACCAGUGGCGAAGGCGGCUCGCUGGGCUCUACCUGACGCUGAGGCGCGAAAGCGUGGGGAGCGAACCGG